GCCAACAAGCUGGAGAAAAUGAGAUGCUUCUCUAAAUUUUUAUAUGGCUCAGCUUAUUUUGGAGGUGGUUUCAGACAGAUGGCAGAGAAAAAGCUGCACUCUGACUUUGAUCAACACUGCUUUGCUUUGCCUGGUGUUGACCUUACAAAUGGCCAUAUAAAUGGGACCACACAGCGUGGAGCCUGUGGAUCUGGUUUCCUUCAUUCAGCAUCACACCUGUGAGAUUCAGCCAUCUCGUGGAAUACAACCCAGCAAACCUUUGGAAAAACAUGGAGACAGACUGGAUGGCCAUUUCUGAACAGAUGAUGUCCGUGAAGGUACUGUUCCUCAUUCUUUGACUCUGGUUCCUGGAUGCAUCAUCCCAAAUGCUGACAUCAUCUAGCACCUGGAAGCUCCAUUAGUGUGGGUUUUCCUCUUGAAUGGAAAGUGGUUGCCACACUUGCAUGCAGUACCAUGAAAAUUCUUCUGUAACAUCCUGUGUAAUGUGCUUUGCAGAUCUAUCUCAGCCCUGUAUAGUUUAAUCAUUUCAUUCACAGUAUAUUAAUUACAAU